rnacentral:snRNA from 1 species
AUACUUACCUGUCAGGGGCGCUACCAUGAUCACAGGCGGUUUUCCCAGGGUGAGGCUUAUCUGUCGCACUCCGGAUGUACUGACCCCUGUGAUUUCCCCAAAUGUGGGAAGCCCGGUGCAUAAUUUGUGGUGGAGGGGAACUGCGUUUGUGCUCUCCGCU